UACGUAGGGGGCUAGCGUUGUCCGGAAUCAUUGGGCGUAAAGAGCUCGUAGGCGGUCUGUUGCGUCCGCUGUGAAAACUCGGGGCUUAACCCCGAGCCUGCAGUGGAUACGGGCAGACUAGAGGUAGGUAGGGGAGAAUGGAAUUCCCGGUGUAGCGGUGAAAUGCGCAGAUAUCAGGAGGAACACCGGUGGCGAAGGCGGAUCUCUGGGCCUUACCUGACGCUGAGGCGCGAAAGCAUGGGGAGCGAACAGG
rnacentral:rRNA from 1 species